rnacentral:pre_miRNA from 1 species
AAUUCUAUUUGGUAGCCAAGGGUGACUUGCCUACUUCUUUGCGAAGGAAAAUGGUCACGGUGUCAUGUUUGAAAGUGAAUAUACAUUUUUAAGAGUAUAUCAAUUAGUGACCAUUUUGCGUAUAAAAAGAUAUUAGGCAGUCUCCUUGGCUAUCCUUAUAUGUUCU